GAGGUUGGGGCUCAGUGGUAGAGCGCUUGCCUUGCACAUGAGAGGCACUGGGUUCGAUCCUCAGCACCACA
rnacentral:tRNA from 1 species